GUGGAGCAGUCACACCCAUUUUGCCCCUCGAGGACCGCGAUCUGGUCAGCUCGUUCCUCUCCACCAAGCUGCUCAGUGAUUUUUUUUUCUUUUCCCUUUCUCUUCUCUUCUCUUUCUUUCCUUCUUCCUUUCUUUUUUAACAACACUGUGAGGGCAGCCCCACCCAGCAAACCUCAGAGGAGGCUAGAAGCCAAGAUGGAGGUGGAGCAUCACUUGGAGGCGGGCUAUGAGUCACGGCCAGGGCCCUGUCUGAGCAGCCCCUCGGAGCCUCUGCGCCUGCCAUGUAGUGGAGCUGGAGGGAGGAGCAGGAACCUCGGCUGGGCCCUGCCUGGAGGAACCCCACCAAGAGCCCCUUCCUGCGGAGGCCCGUGGGGGUCUGUUCGUGUGUGUGCCUAAGCUGGCCAAACAAAUGUCUGGCAUUUUUUUCUGGGAAGCAGGAACCUGAAGGACCAUCUCACCUUGUUUUCAAAUGUUCAGUGGUCACCUUCCUAUGGGUCCCGCAUGUCCAGUUUAUCAAGCACUCCAGGCAAGAGCAGUUUCUUGCCCAAAUGGAUCACCUUUUCCACAUUGUAAGCAAACUCCAUAAUGAGUUUCUUUGAUUCCCACCAUCCUUUUUGAAAUAUUUGGUGCUGCCAGGAGCAGACAUGUCUCACUGUCCAGAAAAGUCUAAGUGACUAAAACAUUUUAAAUGCCAUAUUCUGUAGGU